rnacentral:rRNA from 1 species
CCUGGCGACAAUAGCCGUUUGGCACCACCUGAUCCCAUCUCGAACUCAGAAGUGAAACAUUCGCGCGCCGAUGAUAGUGUGGGGUCUCCCCAUGUGAAAGUAGGUCAUUGCCAGGA